GUUAUGGAAGUGACUUUCGUGUCUGGAUAGUAAGGAAGAAUGCUGUUUUUUAACCAUGUAUUGGCAUUAGACUCGAAUUGAGAAAACGCCAACAAGUCUGAGUUUGGAAUCCCAAUCAUAAGCUCAAUUCCAGUAUUCGCAAAGGCCUUGAGGACCUGGAUAUUUGAGUCGUAUAUCCUUACAUAUUUAAUGUUGUGCAUUUGAAUGAGCUGCACAGCUUUUUCAGGUGUAGGAAGAUCAUCGGCAUUUCGUCCAUAGCAAAUUCCAACUCUGCUUGCUCUGCAAAUGCCAAGAAUCACUAAGACCACAGUAGCUGCAAAUAUGAUACUAAAUCCUCUUGCCAUUCUACUUAAAGA
rnacentral:misc_RNA from 1 species